rnacentral:lncRNA from 1 species
UGGAACUGGACUACCUCGAGGAAAUCCAUUGGUGAUCUUCGACUCUCCAUCAUAUCCAAGCUUGUUGCCCUCCUUCUCCUCCUCCCUCCAGAUGCAAUGGGAUCCACUCUUCUCGUGUUCUUCAUAAGGCUUUGGGGAUUGGGUCUACCUUGCAAUAAUGGAAGCCGAGGGAUUUGGUUGGAGAUAACUCACGAGAUAAGGAUAGCACUGAAAUUGUUGCAAUUCAGGAGCAAGAGGAACUCGCAGGCUGGGCAGCUGGCAGGACUUGGUCUUCACCAAGGCCUGUUACAUACUUGGCAUGGUACGAGGCCAACAAACCUGGACUGAGUUGAUUGCUAUACAAGAACGUAUGGUGAGAUAAAAUAUUGAAUACUGAUGAGCGUUCUGCAUUUUGCAGGUCUGGUUCUAUUCCCUUGGUAGCUGGAAGGGCGUCAUGGCAUUGCCUGCGCUGGUGGUGGUCGAUGAGAUUAUCACAAAUGGAGAAGUUUAUCUGAACCAUUAUGUAAACAAUGCAGCAUGGACUUAUUGUAGAACUGAGAUGAGAAAAUGAAAAUCAGCAGCAGUGAACGACAGAUGUCAAUUUUGACUCCUUCAGGUGAUGCGUGUGUAUACUGAAGCUGCAUUUACUGUAUAUUGCUGGUAUUUAGUACAAACAAAAUUCAAUGAAUGCCAUGCAGAUGAUUCCUUCGACUGCUGCUGCUGCUUCAGGUGAUUGAUCACUGUGGUAAUUCACUUCUUGUGUCAAACUUCAAACGCAAUAGGGGGCUGGAGGGAGGCAACAAAAUUCCUGUCAAUCAGUAGGUGUUUUUAUGUGCGUGCCUUCAGUUGUUCAGGUAGCUGCAUUCCAGUCGUGUGGUUCUUUAAGGCAUUUGAAUCUAACAAUGUUUCUUUGUCUAUGAGCUGAAUGCCUGUGGACCUAUGAGAUCCAAUUCAUGCCGGUUGCGUACUCAGUGCAUACCUAUAAUCCUGUAGCUCAAUGGUCUUUGAUAAAAUAUUAUUCCUGUAACUGGUAGCAGCAAACAAGGUCGUUAAAGAUUUGAUCGGAAUAUAUAUGGCAGUGAAUAAAUAUUGAUAGUUGGUCGAAAUAAAUAAGUAGUAUAUAUAUAGUAUAGAUGGGUAAAGGUGCUUAUUAAUUUAGUAUGAACAAGUUGCAAUAUUAUAGAGCUUAUAUGUUUUCUUCCUUCCGUCUAUAAUGGUAUUGUUCCGACUAUUCUUUUCUCAUGGAACAGGUUAUAUGACGCUAGCUUAUGACAUAUUGUGCUUGCAUUUGUAGUAUCCAGAGAUGAAUGUAACAUGUUCUAAAAUAAGUUGAACAAACAAGUUCUAAAGUAGCUUUCAUGCAAUUUCCUAAACAAUGUAAACAACACACAUGCACAUAAGGGAUAACGUCAUUGCAAACGAGGGUAGUAGAACUUAUUUUUAUAUAUCAUUUUUUAUUUUUUCCGUGGCAAUGCACAUGCAUUCAGCUAAAGUAAAAAUUGUCAGGAUGCACUUCAGUCACAGUUGAGUAGCGGAAUCUUAUUGUAGUAAAAUUGUCUGAACCAUUUCAAUAAAUUGUAGUACAACUUAUUGGAGCGACUGACAUAAUAAAUUCAGGCACAAUUGCAUUAACAAGUGAGUACUGAGUACUGAGUAGCAAAGUGAUUGUUGCCGGUUCAAAUAUCAGAAUGUGUCCUAGCAGCAUAAGACCAUUAAAACGAGUGGUACUGUUAGAGUACGUAAUGGGCCUAAUGAGCCCGUUAGUCUUGGGGUUAAUUAGAGAUAAGGGUCGCUUGCUUAGGGGUCAAGUAAGC